GCGACCAUCAGACAAUGUGGAGGCCCUCAUGGGCGAUGGCUGAGGGGGCCGGGCUGAGGCUGUGCACACACAGCCCGCACGCCACUCUUGGGAUGUCCAUCUUCCAGGAGAGAGACGGUCUUGGGUCCAGGGAGUGGAGGGGGCUGCCCCUGCCGUGCAGGUCCUGGCCGAUGGCGCCUUACCCUGCUGCCCUGGGCUUUUGGCCUGAAGCAAAUUCCUGAGUGGGGGUACUGGGGCCUGCCGCAUCCUGUCCUGUCCACUGCCAACCCCCGUGUGCCGGCUCCCUCACUUCUGGCUGCAGUGGGAGCCGCCAGUCUCACCCUUGUCACCCCACGCUCUGCCCCCACCCCGUUUUCAGUUUAGCAAGAGGUCACACCAUGUCAGCAGCCUUGCACUGACCGUAGCCGGCCCCCAGGCCUCAGAGUUCUGGAUGCUUCCGUGCGGCUCCAACAGGCAUCGUCUUCCCUUCCGCAGGCGGAGGGGCCGCUUCCCGCAGGCAUCUGAGCUCUGUGCCGGGGCCGUGGCCAUGGGAAGAUGUUCCAUGCUGCCUCCUCCUCCUGAGUUUUCCUCGGAAACACUCUUGAAUGUCUGAGUGAGGGUCCUGCUUAGCUCUUUGGCCUGUGAGAUGCUUUGAAAAUUUUUAUUUUUUUAAGAUGAAGCAAGAUGUCUGUAGCGGUAAUUGCCUCACAUUAAACUGUCGCCGAUUGCAGGCGCGGUGACUGCUGAAUGUACCCCGUGUGGCGACUUGGAAUCAAUAAACCAUUUGUGGAUCCUGUGUGGUAUGAGUUGGUCCUGGGCAGAGGGAAGGAUCUGGCUGUGGUCCUGGCCUCUGCCCAGACACACCCUUGUAGCCUGGGCCACCUUAGAAGGCCCCUGUGUGACCUCCAGGGCCCCAAACAACAGCCCAGCCCCCUCAACCUGUCACUGGCCUGUGCCUGUGGGCCGGCAGCCCGGGGGUCCUUUUGGCUCCUCACAGACGGGUCUGGCACUGCCUCUAGCUGCCCUGGCCACAUCCGCCCUUCUGCCUCCCACCACCGAAGGCUUAGAGCAUGGGAAGGGUCUCCUGUAAAGGCCAAGAGAAGUGUUUCCAGAUUUGCGAUCUUGGAGCAGCACAUACAGAUGGAGCUGUGUGUGCACAGCGAUUUUUUCUGUGCAGUUUUUACAUUGAAGGCAAGAUGUGAGUUUGUCCAGUACAAAACCAGGUGUGUGGGUGCAGGGCAGGAUUUGGGUUGAAGGGCCCAUCUGGGUACUAGGAAAGGGCACAGGCCACAUCCAGGCAGCAGCCUGGGGGAAGACUGGAGGUGAAGGCCAGCGUGUCUGGAACGUCUCAGAUGCAAAUCGCCCUCCUCAAGUGCUGGCGGGCGGUGCCAGAUGAACCAGAGAUCUAGUGCAGGGAUGGGGUUGUGUCUUCAGGGUGUGGAGACAGGCGGUUCUUGGGGACCACUCUGGGUUUUAACAGGAAAUGGGAGCAAGGUCUCAGCCCCGCACUGCAGGGGCCGUGGCAGGUGGGGGCAGCGGUGGAGAUAGCUGCGUUUCUGAACUCUCAGGUCACUGCCACCCUGUGAUGCCUUCUGAUGGUUUUAAGCAACAAAGAAGCACCAAGGAAGCAGGAGGCCGAGGAGGGCUCCCAGUGAGGGCCCCUCCGUGGGAGAGAGCAGGUUGUGAGAGCCUGGGAAGUUCACGUUCCCCUCACCCCAUGAGGAAACUGAGACCUGCCCUGAGCCCCAGCCCUGUGCCCUUCUCAGGGGCUUGUGUGAGAGAGUGGCCCACCGGGCACCUGUAGAGUGAAAAGGAUGCCCAGGGGCUCGGUG
rnacentral:lncRNA from 1 species